UGUAACAGCAACUCCAUGUGGAAGUAAAUGGAAUAUUCCGGUGGAGAUGCUGUUAUCUG
rnacentral:pre_miRNA from 1 species